UACGAAGGGGGCUAGCGUUGCUCGGAAUCACUGGGCGUAAAGCGCACGUAGGCGGAUUGCUAAGUCAGGGGUGAAAUCCUGGAGCUCAACUCCAGAACUGCCUUUGAUACUGGCGAUCUCGAGUCCGGGGAGAGGUGAGUGGAACUGCGAGUGUAGAGGUGAAAUUCGUAGAUAUUCGCAAGAACACCAGUGGCGAAGGCGGCUCACUGGCCCCGGUACUGACGCUGAGGUGCGAAAAGCGUGGGGGAGCAAACAGGG
rnacentral:rRNA from 1 species